rnacentral:rRNA from 1 species
AACGAACGCUGGCGGCAGGCUUAACACAUGCAAGUCGAACGGACGUAGCAAUACGUUAGUGGCGCACGGGUGAGUAACACGUGGAUAUCUGCCUUUUGGUUCGGGAUAACCCUGGGAAACUAGGGCUAAUACCGAAUGGUUCCUACGGGAUAAAGAUUUAUCGCCAAAAGAUGAGUCCGCGUCCGAUUAGCUAGUUGGUGAGGUAAUGGCUCACCAAGGCGACGAUCGGUAGCUGGUCNGAGAGGACGAUCAGCCACACUGGGACUGAGACACGGCCCAGACUCCUACGGGAGGCAGCAGUGGGGAAUAUUGGGACAAUGGGGGCAACCCUGAUCCAGCCAUGCCGCGUGAGUGAUGAAGG